rfam:Triticum aestivum genome assembly, contig: Triticum_aestivum_CS42_TGACv1_scaffold_513382_6BS
UAAGUACUCCCUCCGUUCGGAAUUACUUGUCGUAGAAAUGGAUGUAUCUAGACAUUUUUUAGUUCUAGAUACAUCCACUGCGACAAGUAAUUCAGGACGGAGGGAGUAGUAG